rnacentral:rRNA from 1 species
UACGUAGGGUGCGAGCGUUAAUCGGAAUUACUGGGCGUAAAGCGUGCGCAGGCGGUUUUGUAAGCCAGAUGUGAAAUCCCCGGGCUUAACCUGGGAAUGGCAUUUGGGGACUGCAAGGCUGGAGUGCGGCAGAGGAGACUGGAAUUCCUGGUGUAGCAGUGAAAUGCGUAGAUAUCAGGAGGAAUACCGAUGGCGAAGGCAGGUCUCUGGGCUGACACUGACGCUCAUGCACGAAAGCGUGGGGAGC